AGCUUUGCACAGUGGAAGUAUCAUCGCCGAUGAGGUUUAUCUGAGGCACGAUUAUUGCUAAUCGUUUUAUUUCUCCAAAUCGCAUCUCACCAUCAAACGUAUUCUCUAUCUUAGUUUGUGUGUUUCUUCUUGUUAAAACAUAUGCU